GCAGAAGUGGCGGAAUUGGUAGACGCGCACGGUUCAGGUCCGUGUGGGAGCAAUCUCUUGAGGGUUCAAGUCCCUUCUUCUGCA
rnacentral:tRNA from 1 species